ensembl:lncRNA
CUUCGGCAAGCACCACUAACUAGAAUGUACAUUUCCUGAAGAAAAUGUGAGUGGUGCUUGCAGUGGCAAAACUCGGCGCUCGGUUGCUAAGGUGCUUCUAGGCGGUUGUUAGAGCGGUUGCUAGGGUACCCAGGGUGGUUGCUAGGGUGUUGCUAUGUCGUUGCUAGGUUAGUUGGGGUGGUUGCUAGGGUCCCCAGGAUGGUUGCUAGGGCCGUUGCUAGGGUACUUGGGGUGGUUGCUAAGGUGUUGCUAGGCGGUUGCUAGGGUGUUCUGGGUGGUUGCUAGGCGGUUGCUAGGCAGUUGCUAAGGUACUUAGGGUGGUUGCUAAGGUGUUGCUAGGUGGUUGCUAGGGUGUUCUGGGUGGUUGCUAGGCGGUUGCUAAG